rnacentral:rRNA from 1 species
UACGUAGGGUCCAAGCGUUAAUCGGAAUUACUGGGCGUAAAGCGUGCGCAGGCGGUUCGUUAAGUCAGCUGUGAAAGCCCCGGGCUUAACCUGGGAAUUGCGGUUGAAACUGGCGAACUAGAAUCUGGCAGAGGGGGGUGGAAUUCCACGUGCAGCAGUGAAAUGCGUAGAGAUGUGGAGGAACACCGAUGGCGAAGGCAGCCCCCUGGGCUGAGAUUGACGCUCAGGCACGAAAGCGUGGGGAGCAAACAGG